rnacentral:rRNA from 1 species
UACGUAGGAUGCGAGCGUUGUCCGGAAUUAUUGGGCGUAAAGAGAACGUAGGCGGUUUCUUAAGUUUGGGCUUAAAGACUGGGGCUCAACCCCAGGAGUGGCUCGAAAACUGAGAGACUAGAGGAUGGCAGAGGAAAGUGGAAUUCCCAGUGUAGCGGUGAAAUGCGUAGAUAUUGGGAGGAACACCAGUGGCGAAAGCGACUUUCUGGGCCAUUCCUGACGCUGAGGUUCGAAAGCUCGGGGAGCAAACAGG